UCUAGAUUUAUAGUUAGGUUGAAUAUAAUAGAAUGAAUUGAUGCCAAAAAUGACAUAAGGUGUAUAAAAAUGUUUUAACCACAAAGAGGGGCCAUGCCCAUUCCCAAAGAAACCUAACAUGACUUGAAAAAUUCCACCUCUUCUUUUAUAUAUAUAUAUAUAUAUAUAUGUAUAUGUAUAUACCUAGGGCUUCAUUUUCUUAAUAAGUAAAAAAAAAAAAUAAAUAAAUUAAAACUAAAUAAAAUUCAUUUUAAGGCUAAUGAGACUUUUCCGGACAAAGAUUCCUCCAUUUGUUGCUUUAGACCAUACACAACUGCUAUUAGACAAUGCACCUGGGUCCCACCUUCUUACUUCCCCACUGACACCUUCCGCCAACACGUGACCUGCCCUUCCCCCUUCCAUUUCUUCUCUUUUUCUCUCCCAAUUUCUCGCCUAAC
rnacentral:lncRNA from 1 species